UACAGAGGUCUCAAGCGUUGUUCGGAUUCAUUGGGCGUAAAGGGUGCGUAGGUGGCGCGCUAAGUCAGGUGUGAAAUCUCGGGGCUUAACUCCGAAACUGCAUUUGAUACUGGCGUGCUUGAGGACUGGAGAGGAGACUGGAAUUCUCGGUGUAGCGGUGAAAUGCGUAGAUAUCGAGAGGAACACCUGCGGCGAAGGCGGGUUGCUGGGCUGAUACUGACGCUGAUGCGCGAAAGCUAGGGUAGCAAACGGG
rnacentral:rRNA from 1 species